GAAUCAGCUGAUCCCGCGGACCCACUGGGUUGCCAAGCUCGCGCCGGAUGCGGAGCGCGGUGCUGCCGGUGGAGCUUCAGGUCUUGAUAGACUUUCUGUAAAGAAGGAAUGAUUUGGUGAUGGAGUGUUCCCACUGACCGAUGGACUCAAAGAAGAGAAGCUCAACAGAGGCAGAAGGAUCCAAGGAAAGAGGCCUGGUCCAUAUCUGGCAGGCAGGAUCCUUUCCCAUAACACCAGAGAGAUUGCCAGGCUGGGGAGGAAAGACUGUUUUGCAGGCAGCCCUCGGAGUGAAACAUGGAGUUCUUCUGACUGAAGAUGGUGAGGUCUACAGCUUUGGGACUCUUCCCUGGAGAAGUGGACCAGUGGAGAUUUGUCCAAGUAGCCCCAUUCUAGAAAAUGCCCUGGUUGGGCAAUAUGUUGUUACUGUGGCAACAGGAAGCUUCCAUAGUGGAGCAGUGACAGACAAUGGUGUCGCGUACAUGUGGGGAGAGAAUUCUGCUGGCCAGUGUGCAGUAGCCAACCAGCAGUAUGUGCCGGAACCAAAUCCUGUCAGCAUUGCUGAUUCUGAGGCCAGCCCUUUGUUAGCAGUCAGGAUUUUACAGUUGGCAUGUGGCGAGGAGCACACUCUGGCAUUGUCAAUAAGCAGAGAGAUUUGGGCAUGGGGUACCGGUUGUCAGUUGGGUCUCAUUACCACUGCCUUCCCAGUGACAAAGCCACAAAAGGUAGAACAUCUUGCUGGGCGAGUGGUGCUUCAAGUUGCCUGUGGUGCUUUCCACAGCUUAGCCCUUGUACAGUGCCUCCCUUCCCAGGAUCUGAAGCCAGUCCCAGAACGAUGCAACCAGUGCAGCCAGCUCUUGAUUACUAUGACUGACAAAGAAGACCAUGUGAUUAUAUCAGACAGUCAUUGUUGCCCAUUAGGUGUGACACUGACAGAAUCUCAGGCAGAAAACCAUGCCAGCACUGCUCUCAGCCCCUCCACUGAAACCCUUGACAGGCAGGAAGAAGUAUUUGAGAACACUCUCGUAGCAAAUGAUCAGUCUGUUGCUACUGAACUGAAUGCAGUAAGUGCUCAGAUCACAAGCAGCGAUGCCAUGUCCUCUCAACAAAAUGUCAUGGGAACAACUGAAAUUUCCUCUGCCAGAAACAUACCAUCAUACCCUGACACCCAAGCAGUCAAUGAAUACCUACGGAAACUGUCAGAUCAUUCAGUAAGAGAGGACUCAGAGCAUGGUGAAAAGCCAAUGCCAUCUCAGCCUCUUUUAGAAGAAGCAAUUCCUAAUCUCCACAGCCCGCCUACCACAAGCACCUCAGCCCUAAACAGCCUGGUGGUCUCUUGUGCAUCUGCUGUUGGUGUGAGAGUGGCUGCUACUUAUGAAGCUGGUGCCUUGUCACUGAAGAAAGUUAUGAACUUUUAUAGUACAACCCCUUGUGAAACUGGAGCUCAGGCAGGCAGUAGUGCCAUUGGCCCCGAAGGUUUGAAAGAUAGCAGGGAAGAACAGGUUAAACAGGAAUCAAUGCAAGGAAAGAAAAGUUCAAGUCUUGUGGAUAUCAGAGAAGAAGAAACAGAGGGAGGCAGUCGAAGACUCUCCCUCCCUGGAUUGUUGUCACAAGUUUCCCCCAGGCUCUUAAGAAAGGCUGCACGGGUGAAAACGAGGACAGUGGUUCUGACCCCCACAUACAGUGGAGAAGCAGAUGCGCUCCUGCCUUCUCUGAGAACAGAAGUGUGGACCUGGGGGAAAGGGAAGGAAGGGCAGCUGGGGCACGGCGAUGUUCUGCCUAGGCUUCAACCGUUGUGUGUAAAAUGUCUGGAUGGCAAAGAAGUAAUCCAUCUGGAGGCAGGUGGUUACCAUUCUCUUGCACUUACUGCGAAAUCCCAGGUUUACUCAUGGGGUAGCAAUACCUUUGGUCAACUUGGGCAUUCCGAUUUUCCAACAACAGUUCCUCGUCUUGCAAAGAUAAGCAGUGAAAAUGGAGUCUGGAGCGUAGCUGCAGGCAGGGAUUAUUCCCUGUUUUUAGUGGAUACAGAAGACUUCCAGCCUGGGUUAUAUUACAGUGGCCGACAGGACCCUACAGAAGGUGACAACCUUCCAGAGAAUCACAGUGGUUCUAAGACUCCAGUACUUCUCUCCUGUAGUAAGCUUGGAUAUAUAAGCAGAGUGACAGCAGGAAAAGAUAGCUAUCUAGCCUUGGUGGAUAAAAACAUUAUGGGGUAUAUUGCCAGUCUCCACGAGUUAGCUACUACAGAAAGACGAUUCUAUUCAAAACUAAGUGAUAUCAAAUCUCAGAUUCUCAGGCCUCUUCUCAGUUUAGAAAAUUUGGGCACUACAACUACAGUCCAGCUGUUGCAGGAGGUGGCUAGCCGAUUCAGCAAGCUGUGUUACCUCAUUGGUCAGCAUGGAGCCUCAUUGAGCAGCUUCCUUCAUGGGGUAAAGGAAGCCAGGAGUUUGGUCAUCCUGAAGCAUUCAAGUCUCUUCUUGGAUAGUUAUACAGAGCAAGUAUCCAGUCCCGUGUCAUGUUCAAUCUCUGCAGGGUUAUUCUGCCAAGGAGAACAGCUCCUUAAUCAGAAGAGACUAGAUUAGGGAGAGUGAUAUAAGGUAAUAGAAAUUGCAAAGCAGUAUUUUAAUCUUAAGCCAACUAUAGUUCUGGAUUGCUAAAAUUUAGUCUUCUCUAAGUGAAAAAAAAUUUAAAAAUAAUGAAUUAUCAUGUUUUCUUCUAUAUUCUAGCAGAGUGAUAGCAUAAUUUACAUUAAAUGUACUACAAUAAGUCUGGUUCUUUAGAAAACAAUUUUGUUUACUUAACUAAAUUGUACUAAAACUUGGAAGAAAUUAGUAACUAAACAAAUUAUUUUAAGACCAACUGCUGAUUGUAAAUAUGGAGCUGUUCUGAUGUCUGCUUUUGACUUUUAUAUAAAUGGAAGUUUUAAAAGACCCAACUAUUUUUAACAUGAAGAUGUUUUUCCUUAAUAAAACCUGGAAUAGUUA
rnacentral:sRNA from 1 species